CCUACGUGUAGCUGCAGUGGGGAAUAUUGGGCAAUGGGCGCAAGCCUGACCCAGCAACGCCGCGUGAAGGAAGAAGGCUUUCGGGUUGUAAACUUCUUUUGUCAGGGACGAAGCAAGUGACGGUACCUGACGAAUAAGCCACGGCUAACUACGUGCCAGCAGCCGCGGUAAUACGUAGGUGGCAAGCGUUAUCCGGAUUUAUUGGGUGUAAAGGGCGUGUAGGCGGGAAUGCAAGUCAGAUGUGAAAACUAUGGGCUCAACCCAUAGCCUGCAUUUGAAACUGUAUUUCUUGAGUGCUGGAGAGGCAAUCGGAAUUCCGUGGGUAGCGGUGAAAUGCGUAGAUAUACGGAGGAACACCAGUGGCGAAGGCGGAUUGCUGGACAGUAACUGACGCUGAGGCACGAAGGCCAGGGGAGCGAAAGGGAUUAGAUACCCGUGUAGUC
rnacentral:rRNA from 1 species